UACGGAGGGUGCAAGCGUUUAUCCGGAUUCACUGGGUUUAAAGGGUGCGUAGGUGGAGUGGUAAGUCAGUGGUGAAAUCUCCAAGCUUAACUUGGAACUGCCGUUGAUACUAUCAUUCUUGAAUAUCGUGGAGGUAAGCGGAAUAUGUCAUGUAGCGGUGAAAUGCUUAGAUAUGACAUAGAACACCGAUUGCGAAGGCAGCUUGCUACACGAUCAUUGACACUGAGGCACGAAAGCGUGGGGAUCAAACAGG
rnacentral:rRNA from 1 species